rnacentral:pre_miRNA from 1 species
AAAAAGACAAACCCUAAGUUUCCGUGCCAACGUUUGACUGUUCGUCAUAUACAAAUUUUUUUUAUAAUUAGUAUUUUCAUUACUGUUAAAUUCAUUUUUUUUAAAAUAAGACGGACGGUCAAACGUUAGACACGGAAAUCAGAGUUUAUCUUUUU